CUCCCGGCUCCUCCCGGCUCGGGCCGACCCCGCUGCGUUGCGCUCCAGGACCCGCGCGGCGCCCCACGGCCCAGCCCGGUCCCGCCCGGUCUCUAUGGCGGCUCCGGCGCCCCCGCUUCGGCGCUCCUCCGGGGGGUUAAAAUAGUCUAAAUACCUAUCAAACAUCCCAAUAUUUCCCUGAAACGAAGACAGGAAUCUCAUAGAAACACUAUUCAACUGAAGUGGAUUGAUGACGAACUGAUAUCUUCUGAUGAUGUGCUGCAGAAGCAGUCUGAAAUCAGGAAGUCUCAAGAGUUUUCAGGACUGAGGAAUGAAUAAAUAUUAAAAUCCCCAGUAAAGGUUUCCAGAAGCAGGAGUGACUUAAAAGGAAAGAAAUUCAGAUUAAACCAACAAGAAUGUCAGUUUCCCGAAGAUUUUUCGAGGGUUUUCUCCUACUGUGAAAAUUAUUAUUCUUUUAUUAUUAUUAUUAUUUGGGAAAUUAGUCCAGCUUCAAAUCAAAUUUUUAAAAUGCUUACUUUUUCAUGAAUUGGAAGAAUGUCAUUCAACUAAGUCUAUCUAGGCCCUCACGUGUCUCUGGAAAAUGGCUACAGAUAAAAACUCGGAGGAUUUGAACUGAUUACAUAGAAAUCAACAGAUGUUUUUAGGUGGUUUAAAUGGGAGCUGUUCUGAGCUGUAAGUGGGUCAUGUGCAAAAUGUUAAAUUCCAUGUCUCUUCGGUAAACAGACUGGAGGGCAGAUACUUUGAGGAUAGCAUCAUGCACAAUAGUGCAAUUUUUUAAAGAUUGAGUGUGUUUUCUAGCAAGACAAUUAAUGUCCUUGAAAAGAGGAAGCCUUAAACCCCAUUUAUAUGCACUAUAAGACUGAACUCCAGAUUAUAGUGUGUCAACACAACAGUUCCUCACUAGAGGAACUCGCUUUCUGUCUUUUAAAAAUUUGUUUACAGCUUCAAUUGUUUGCAUGAUCUAAGUAUCUUUAGUUGCACUCUGAUGUGAAAGAGGACAGCAAAGGAAGUCUUUUGUUUUCUUUUUCUCUUAAGUUUGAGUUUCCAAACUAAACCCCUCCAGUAAAAGCUUCAUAUUUAAGCUUUCUUUCUAUAAUAGUGUUGACUAAUUUAACAGAUUGGGUAGGAGGAAGUGAAUUUUUUUGUCCUUUUUGGGGUGUGUGUGAAGGACGUCUGCAUAAACUAAAUUACCAGCAGGACUUGUUGUGACAUUUCCUGAUAAUUAAUAUCUUUGCAGAACAAAGAUCAACAAAGAAAUAAUCAUAUGUGUGUAAGUUUCAAUUUCUAGGAGAACACAUGAUAAUUAAUGCUUCUAAUAAGCAAGAGGGGCUUAGCAGAACAACAGGGAUUAUAUUUAUAAACAACUGUGUCUUGAAAAGACUUUUAGUCCUGUUCAUGGACCAUAUCAGCACCUGUAAACAGUAUAGGCACUACUGAUGGACAUCAACUGUUUUCCCAUUCAAACUGUUCUCUACAAAGGAUUUUUAUAAUUUUAAUUUCUGUACUUGUUUUCAGCUGCAUUUAAUUAACACUGGAACAUUAUCACUUUGGAGAUUAAGUACUUAAAGGCAAAUAUGGUUCCAUGAAAACCAUUUGUUCUUUACAUUAGAUAAUUGAACACAAGCCUAAAGAAAAUGAAAAUUAUUGUGUUCAUUAAAAUGUUUUGUACUGUUUUGGUGAUUAAAAAGAGAUAUACAGCCCCUAGUUUCCAACAGUGAAACUUGUAGACCUGUGAAACAGGAUUAAAUUUCAGUACCUUUCCUCAAAACUAUUUUCCUUUGUAUUCUUAUUUUAGGUUAGGUAUUGUGGAUUGAAAUUCGUGAGACUGGAUUAAGUUUUCAUUUGUAUAUCUUCUGAAAAAAAAUG